rnacentral:lncRNA from 1 species
GGAAUUUUGGAGCGAGCCCGAAAGAAGGCGCUUGCACGACGAGACCCCAGCCAAAACCCUGGGCACCGAGUCUACGAUGAGCUUCCCGGGUAGACAGCGCCUCCACGGGUGUAGCCAAAAUGCGUUGCCGGAGGAAUUAUGCACGUCGUGAGUGACUCCCCAGGGCGAGGGCUCUUGGAAGCUGGCGUUUGGAUUUCUCCGGACUUCCCCGUGUGCCUUUUCCCUCUGACGAUUUUACUCUCUGUCCUUCCGCUGUCAGUCGCGACCACGAGUGUGGCGGGGACCUGAGGGUCCUCCUGAUGAACCAACCAGCUGGAGAGAGAGGGAGACACAGAAUCCGAAGCGGGCUCCAGGCUCUGAGCUGGAACACGCGGGGCUUGAACUCAUGAACCACGAGAUCAUGACCUGAGCUGAAGUCGGACGCUUAGCGGACUUUAUCCCAGAUUCUGGAACCAAGGCAGGGAACGGGGAGGGGCUUGUCAAGGUCCCCUGGCCGCUUCAUGACAAAGGCCGGGCUGGAACUCAGGGCUCUGAGCCUGGUUAGGCACCCUCCCUUCUACCCUCUGCUCCGGCCAGGGGUGGGUGGGGGCUGAUUGCACCUGACCCCCACACUUCCCAGAAAAGUUCCGGGCUUCGCAGCCCCUACCUCCAAGCCCCUGCCAAGGAGGGAGUUUAGAGAGGAUAAGGACCCCUGGUCUUUGCCUUACCAGCUCCAUCUGAGACCGUGGCAAGUUUCACAGAUGGGGAAACUGCUGCAAGAAAGACAUGAAGUCAUGGAGAAAGCAACAGACUGGGAUGUGCUCUAUAAUUACAGUAUUUUUUUUUUAAGGACAAUAAUGAUGCCUCAACAGAUCUAGACCUCAUGAGGGCCACCCAGACCUUUUCAAACUCCAUAACUACCGCGAGCAACUGACCGGUCCAGCCAGGUGCGCAUCCUUCGGGUAGGGACGAGCACGGUUCCCCCAGCCCCGCCCCCAAGCACCGGUAGAGAAGACGCUUGUGGGGCACAUUCAGAGAGCAAGUCCAUGCCGAGCUGGGGGACGAUGACAAGGAGUCAUGAGAGAGGUCAGAGGAAGGGGACAGGAUGUACCUGCAGGGCCGACAUGGGGAGAGCAGGAAGGCUUUUCAACUGGAAGGAGCACCUGGGGAACCCACCAGAACUCCGGGUUCCGGGUCUCCGCCCCGACUGGUGAGUAUAAAACGGUCUCCUGGAAUUAUUCUGAAGAUUACAGGAAGUAAUGGAUACAAAGCGCCCCGUGUAGGAAAUGUUCAGCAAAUGGUAGCUAAUAUAUUAAGAGCAUUAACAAUCGGGGUCGUGACCAUGACAUCUGCUGGCGUGUGUCUCCCCCUCCAGACUGGAGAUCCUCAGGGCACUGUCUCAUAUCUUCUCACUACUCCCAGCUUCCAGCAUUGGGCUUGACAGAGGGCGGGCGUUUAGUGAGGGAACGAACGAAUGCAUUAAUGAACGUAAGCGGUUGGGGAGGUCAGGGAAGGCUUCCCAGAGGAGGUAAAUGCUGACCCAGGCUGGGGAGGACUUGGAGAAUGUGGGCGGUGUGUCGGUGAACUCCGGCCUCGCUUACGCUGUGUAACAAAGAAGCACCCGGUCUCGGUGAUAUACACCAAAAAGCACCCAUCAAGCCCCCUCGUCUGCAGGCCGGCUGGGAGCUGUGCAACGGGCUGGGUUCCAGGGCGUGGUGGUGGCCAGAGCAGAGCAGCUCUGCCCCCACGUGUCUGUCAUCCUCCUUCUGGGGUCGGCGGGCUCGCUCAGCCAUGUGUUUCUUGAGACUUUGGUAGAGGACCAAGGGUGAUCAGAACCCGAGGCCUAGACUCAGAGUAAGGCUCCCUGUCCAUUCUGCCUCGUUUUAGCCACCAAAGCAAGUCGUAUCGCCCCAUUCAAGGCCAGAGGGGAGGCGGUAUCCCCUGCCUCUUAACGGGACAAGCUGCAAGGUCCCACGGCGAAGGGCACAGAUGCGGGGAGGGCCGAAGAAGCGGGAUUAAAUCCCAGUCUUCCACGGAUGGGCCCUGGGAAGGGGGCAGGGGCUGCUCCUUGGGGCGGGAGGCCAGAGGAAGCAGGAGACAAUGAAGUCCAGUCCAGGAUGCUCACUGUGGCACUGGAGGGUCCUGGAGGGAUGGGUCACAGUGAUCCCUCGUGCUCUUGGGACUGUUAGAGCACCAUUCAUGCACUCGUCCGUUCGUUGGUCAAUGAAUGAACAAGCUUCACGGGUGGGGGCACUAGGAACUCAAUGUGAGUAAAACGACGCAGGGUUCGGAAUUUCAGGAUGGAGAGGAGGCUCCCCUGCCGUCUCUGGCUCUUCCGCCCCCUUGCUCCGUGACCUUGGGAAAAUCACCUCCCUUCUCGGGGCAUGCCAGCCACGGCUAAUAAUACCUUAACCUUUGUAGAACACUUUAAACUUUAUCCAAUCGUCCUCACCCAACACUCUCCGCGAAGCAUCGGAGACCGCUUUUAUUACAUCCGUGAUCUGACAAGUGAAACUCUAAUGGACAUGAAAUGCACAGCUCCUUGGAAGUGCUCUCCAGAGAGGACUCGGGGGGCAAACCCCUUAUAACAAACCCUAGGAUUCUCUCUACAACAAAGAGGGUCCCUGGAUGGCGGCAACGGUUGUCGUUUCAAACAAUGUUUGUGUGGCCAUGCAAUUCCUGUGUGAGCCAGGGACUGGGACGGCGUCCUUUAUCUUCCCUUUUAUUUUAAAAAGCCACCGAUCUGAACAUUUCAAAGAUUCCCGUAGAACUUUCUCAAUUUAAUUUAAAAAAAAAAAAAGCAAAACAAAGGACUGUCUUCUCCUCACUGGCUUCACAAACGAAAGAGGGAAAGUGGGACACAAGCCAGGACAGGAGGACAGCCGGUUCAGCCCAGCUCCUCAUUUGAGAAGGGGCACCUCCAUCACCCCGGGACACCAGGCUGCGUGAGUUCCAAGAGGAAAGAGGCGAAAGGCUGCUUCCUCCCCAUCCUCUCGCUAGGACUAAAGCAGGCUUAUCCUGCCGGACAUCUACCGGGUGCUACAUACGCUGUGCCCUCUCCUUAUGCUGGUCCUGUAAGGUGCACAUACCGUCCUACAGGGGGGAAACUGAGGCUCAGGCUGACAGGAAGUCACAGCUGGUAAAGCAGCUGAGCUGGGUCCAAACUCAUAAUCCUCUGGCCCCAAAUACUGUUUUCUCUCCCUUUUCCCAUGCCACCUCUUUGCUGGGGGUGGGAGGGUGAUAUUGAUGGGGAGCUGGGUGCCAGGUUCAGUGAAUGCAGAGGAAAGAAGGAAAGGAGAGAAGGAGGGAGGAAGGGAAGGAAGGGAGGGAGGGAGGGGGGAAGGAAAGAAGGAAGGGAGGGAAAGAGGAAGGAAGGGAGGGAGGAAGGGGGUGGGAAGGAGGGAGGAAGGAAAGGGGGAAGGAAGGAAGGAAAGAAGGAAGGAAAGGGAGGGAAGGAAGGAAGGAAGGAAAGGGAGGGAAGGAAGGAAAGAAGGAAGGAAGGAAAGGGAGGGAAGGAAGGAAAGAAGGGGGCAGGAAGGAAGGGGGGAAGGAGGGCAGGAAAGGAGAGGAACAGAGCGAACAAAGGAAGGAAACACCAGCUGUGUAGCUGACGUGAGCCCAGCACUAUCACAAGCGGACCAUAUUGUGUGAUGCGUCAUAGUUGAAGUUGGAAUAACGUCCCAGGGGACCCAGAGUGGCCGGCGCCUGGGGUGGGCGUUGGUAAAGGCUUCCCGGCGAGAAGCUAUUGAAGUCGAAUCAGGACGAAGGGCAGGCAGGGACAAGGAGGGGCGGCAGCUCCCGAGCAAACCUUCGUCAAGCUCCUCCUGCUUUGAUCAAGGCCCGAAAAAUAGCGAAUGUGAUAAAGCCCCCCUCCAGGGAGCCACCUGGGGUCUCCGAGGUCCCGCCUGGUCUCCACUGUCUCACCUCCUACCCCGCUCUCCAUGGCGACUCCGGCCGCACUGGCCCCGGCAGGUGUCCUUCUUCCUGCCUGGAGAUCUCCCCCUCUUCACCUGGCUGAUCUCUACUCGAUUUCCACUCCGCCGACCCUUCCUUCCUUCCUUCCUCCAGCAGGUGUUUAUGGGACUCCUUGGAGCUGUUCGAGGUGACGGGAACACGGUGCCCUUGCCGGAUGGGAACCGGCCGAAGCGUGGGCGUGGAUGAGGCCUCUGCCAGGGUGAACACAGGCAGGCAAGAGUCGGGCGGGGUGGCAUCGAUGAGCUGCCUACCCCAGCGGACAAGCAGGCCAGCUUCCUCAACCUGGAGUGGGACAAUUCUAAGGCACGUUCUGUGCGGCUCUCAGGGGGUCUCCAGAGAGUUUGAGCCCAGCUGCCCUCAGCUAUGACCCACCACUUGACGCGUCUUUGGUAGACUUUUCUCUCUUCCCGGGCUCCCCUCCGCACUGCCUCGCUGAGCCUCCUGCAACCCCCUCCCAGACAAACUACCCGCACCCAAGUCCCUGUCUCCUGGUCAGCUUUGGGGAAACGUAAAGGGGACCGUGGUGCACCCAGGAGUUGGGAUCCCAAGCGUGCGUUCCAUUCUGCUGUGCUGGCCUCUUGGAAGGACUCGGGGGGGGGGAGGGGGGAGAGGACAGGAUGAGGUGAGAACAUGGUACCGCGGUACUGGGGAGCCACUGAAAGCCGUAUGCAGAGAGGGGGGUGAUCGGCAGACAGCUGCAGCCCCUCUGAGCCUUGGCCUGGCCCUUGGGGACGGACCUAGCCGGGUCAGAGAUGCAGGAGACCCGUCCUGCCCAGUAGGGACAAGAAGACAAGACCCUGCAAAGGGAUCUCCCGCCCACCCAGCGACCCUCCCAGGUCCAUCGGGGGCCCCCCCAGGGCUGUGCUCCCCAUUUGCCGGCCUGACACCCACACCCCCUCCCCCCCUUUUCCCAGAUGCAUUUCUACUGAUUAUGCAAAUCGCCGGGCCCAGCCUAAGCAAAGCAGGGCAGCUCCACAGGGUAAGAUGGGCAAACAACAGAUUACGGCCGCCUUCUCUGGGAAACACAAGUUUAACUGCUUUUUCAGAGGGGCGAGGGGGAGGGGCAGGCACAGAAAUAACCCAGCCCCAGCCAGCUGUCAGGGCCGCCACGCAGAGCACAACCCAAGGCUGGGAGCACGGAGCCGGGGGGGGGGGGGGGGGGGGGGGGGGGGGGGGGGGGGCAGUGGGCUCUGACCCGGGGAGAGGGAGGAGGCAGGUGGCGGAGGGGAGCCACGGGGCGCCCCCCUCCGCAGGGGAAGGCAGAGGCAAGGGCAGAGCCUCUUGGAGGGCAGAGUCCUAGCGGAGGCUUGCUGUGGGCCGGGCAGCGGCGCGAGCGCUCUGCGUGAAUUCACUAUCUAAUCGGCCCAAGGACCCCACAGUAAUGCCACCAUCAUCGUGUUUCAGAUGAGAAAAUGGAAGGUUUAUUAAAUUCACUGAAGACAUGGGGGGGGGGAGUGUUCGCCCUUCCACUCCGAGACCAAGGGCCUGUUGAUUCAACGAACCCCCAUUUUUACUGAGCUCUUGCCCUGUCACCUGUUUCAAGCACGAUGGGUCAUGGCAACCCUAUGUAGCGGGCAGAGUCCUGCCCCUUACCUCCCGGAUGAGGGAACCGGGCGGAGAGUUAAAGGACUAAUGAUGCUCGUAUAAGUAAUAAGGGGUAAGACUGGGAUUCAAACCCAGGUCUGACGACUGUGCCUUUAACCGCUAAGCUAGACAACGUCCCUGAAUACUGCUGCACACGGCCAAGCAACGACUCAAGUUUGUUGGGUGCUUAGUCUGUGCCAGGCCCCCAGGCCUCCAUGCCAGGCUAGGAAUGAGAGAGGGUCCCUGCCCUUGAGGAGCCCGUGACCUGUACGUAAGACACUGUGGCGAUAAGGGCUAGAAAAGGUGAACAGAGAAGAGCGGGAACGCAGGCGGCACCUAAUUCUGCCUGCGGAGGUUAAGGCAGGCCAAACAGAAGGGGCCACAUUCGAGUUGAGGCGUCCCUCUCUCUCUGCCCCUCCCCCAUUCACGCUCUGUCUCUCUCUGUCUCUCUCUCAAAAAAUAAACAUUAAAAAAUUUUUUUUGGGGGGGGGGCGCCUGGGUGGCUCAGUCAGUUGAGCGUCCAACUUCGGCUCAGGUCAUGAUCUCACGGUUUGUGGGUUCGAGCCCCGCGUCGGGCUCUGUGUGGACGGCUCGGAGCCUGGAGCCUGCUUUGGAUUCUGUGUCUCCCUCUCUCUCUCUGCCCUCCCCCACUUGUGCUCUGUCUCUCUCUCUCAAAAACAAACAUUAAGAAAAUUGUUUUAAAUCGUACUGCUGACAGCCGCCACUGAGUGCUUGGGGGGACAAGGGCUGGCUGGUUUCUGUGCUAAGUGCCCUGCGGGUGGCAUCUCGCCGAAUCUUCAUACUAUCAUUCUUCCCAUUUUGCAGAUGCGGAAACCAAGGCGUGGAGAAGCGGAAACUUGCCGGUGAUCUCUCACUUGGGGGCGGGGGAGGAGCCAGGAUUCCAACCUCAGUGGGCAGGACCCCGGGAUCCUGCCGCCCCUUAGCUCUGGUCUAUGGUGAGGGCGCGGCCUUACUUGGGGAAGAGGGGACACAGGGGUAUUUCCUUCUUAUUCAGGAAAAGUUCUCCAGGCGCCAGCUCCUCUGAGUGGGUUCCGCCCUUCCCAGGGGGCUGUGUCGUUUCUGAAAUAGUGGAACCAAGUCGAUCUAGCUCGGCAAACACUUCCAAUCAGUGGCCGAGCACAGGGGGCUGCCGAGGGUGGGAGAGAGGGGAGUCAGGCCCCCGCUGCCGGGAACCCACCCCACCUGGAGGUCCUGACCACACAAUUCCUGCGCAGAGGGGACAUGGGGAACCACACAGUCCCCCAAACUGGGAUUUAGAGAAAAGCCAAAUAAGGGGCCCUUGGGUAGUUCAAUCGGUGGGCAUCCAAAUCUUAGUUUUGGCUCAGGUCAUGAUCCCAGGGUCGUGGGAUCGAGCCCCACGUCGGGCUCCACUCUGAGCAUGGAACCUGCUUGAGAUUCUCUCUCUCUCUCUCUCUCUCUCUCUCUCUCUCUCUCUCUCUGUCUCUCUUUCUCUCUCUCUCCCACACAGAUCCACACACACAUCUACCCAUGGAUGUUUAUGGCAGCUCUACUCGUAAUUGCCAAAAUCUGAAGCAGCCAAGAAGCCUGUCAGUGGAUAAAUGGAUAAACAAACUGUGGUUCAUCCAGACCCCAGAAUAUUAUUCAGCGCAAAAGAAAAAUGAGCUCUCAAGCCCCGAAGGGUCAGGAAGGAAACUUAAAUGCAUAUUACUGGGUGGAAGAAGCCAGUCGGAGAAGUUGUACGAUUCUAACCGUAUGACUUUCCAGAGAAGGCAAACUAUGGAGACAGUAAAGAGAUCAGUGGUUGGCAGGGGUUGGGGGGUUAAGGAUGAAGAGGCAGGUACAGGUGUUUAGGGCAGGGAAACUUCUGGAUGAGACUGUAGCAGCGGGUGUGGGUGGGUGUCGUUUUACAUUUGUCAAAACUCACAGAGUGGAGGGGCGCCUGGGGGGCUCAGUCGGUUAAGCAUCCAACUCGGGCUCAGGUCAUGAUCUCGCGGUUCGUGGGUUGGAGCCCCGUGUUGGGGGGUCUGUGCUGACAGCUCGGAGCCUGGAGCCUGCUUCCGAU